UCUUUUAUCUCUCAUCCUCUUUAGCGCACGUUAUUAGGGUGUUGCUAUAGUUCAUCUCCUCCUUCGGGAUGACAAACAAGAAUAAAUGGUAACAAGGAUGCAAAUAACGGCCCACUGAUGAACAAAGGAAUAUCAACUUUGGGGAGUCGUCAACGUAUUUGUCCAAAAUUAAAACAUGGAUUAUGCAUUGAUAUCUUGUCCGUGUGUGGUCUUGAAUUUUGAUCCCCUCUAAAUAAGUUCUAGUGUUUGCCUAUAAGGCAAAACUUGUGGUCAUCAAUUGAGCAGGUUCACUGUCUUAAAAUGUCUCCAACAUGUGUCUUAUUGGCAAGAGUUAGAACGUGUAGCUUAUGAACAACAUAUUUAAGUUCUAUCGUUUACCUAAAUGACAAAGCUUCUAAUCAGUGUGGGCAAAUUCAUUAUCUUAAAAUUUCAAGAGUCGAAACAUAUGUCUUACAGGUUAGAGUUAUUAAGCGGGGCCAUUUCUGAACUUAACCUUACCCAUCGGGAGUUAGAAGCUGGUCCAAUGGAACGCGGGCCAUGAAUGUCUUGGCCCACAAAUUGAGAUUGGUGUCAUUUUGUUCAGCAAACAGGAGAAGGUAAUUGUACAAAUGAAAUUAUAUGAGGUAUAUAAACUAUAGUAGUUAAAGAUCAUUUUCAUUGUCCCCUAAUACGAAGAUUGAUAACUAAAGGCACGUAUAAAUAAUAGUGAUAGCUAAUGAUGAUGACAGUAAGAGAUAACUGAUUGCUAUAAUGAUGAUAUAUAGUGAUGAUUAAUAAUUUUGAUUGUGAUAAUAAUUAAUAUUUGUGUGAUAACGGUGGAUGAUAAUUGUAAAUGAUGGUAACGAUUGAUUAUGCUGAUCGAUUGGGGAUCCGACGAUUGUUAUUGAAGAUGGUAACUGAGGGUGGUGAGUGGUGGUACAUAAUUAAUAAUGGUGGGCGGUGCUAGUGCAGUUGGGGUUGAAAGUGGGUGUAGUAGCUAGUAAAAAAAUUUCAUCUUUACAGAAAUCUUUGAAUGAAACACCUUAAUUAUCUUAAGUUAGUUAUUUAGAUUUUAAUUAUCGAAAUAUGAAUAAUUAAGAUUUUUAUCUUAGGCGUGGCUAAAUUUUAUCUUCUCUAAACAAAUUAGUCCCGUCUUCUCACCCGCGUAGAGACGGAAGAGAUUACACUUAUAUGAUAAAGGAUUGGUUUGGUCCAUAUAAUUCUCAUACCAUAUCUCACCCCUUAAUUCCCCUUCAUCGCCUAAUUUCUUUAAACUAUUUCCUAUUGCUUUAUUAAACUGAAUAAAAUAUUAAACUUUACAAAAAUUGCUGGUCAUUGGAUACUGGGGAGUUAGAAUUGGCAGAAGAUGAUCAGCUUAAAUAAAUUUAGGCCCCGUUUAUAUAUGUUUAUUAUAGUAUAAGAUUAGUUGGCGAUUGUUAGUGCUACGCACGAGCGCAAUAUUGAUACUUGAAAAUUUUAAGAAAUGUAUAAUUUUAUCAUUUAUACUAGCCAACUAAUAACAUAUCGGUUGGUUCGAUUCAGAUUAGUAAUUAUCAAACGGUUAACGGGCGAUGUAUUGGAU
rnacentral:lncRNA from 1 species